rnacentral:rRNA from 1 species
UACGUAGGCAGCAAGCGUUGUUCGGAGUUACUGGGCGUAAAGAGUGCGUAGGUGGUGCCCUAAGUCUGUCGUGAAAUCUCCCGGCUUAACUGGGAGGGUGCGGUGGAAACUGGGGUGCUUGAGUGUGGGAGAGGUAAGCGGAAUUCCUGGUGUAGCGGUGAAAUGCGUAGAUAUCAGGAGGAACACCGGUGGUGUAGACGGCUUACUGGACCACGACUGACACUGAGGCACGAAAGCGUGGGUAGCAAACAGG